rnacentral:rRNA from 1 species
UACUUAGGCAGCGAGCGUUGUUCGGAAUUACUGGGCGUAAAGAGUGUGUAGGCGGUGCUCUAAGUUCGGUGUGAAAUCUCCUGGCUCAACUGGGAGGGUGCGCCGGAAACUGGAGUGCUUGAGCGUGGGAGAGGAAAGCGGAAUUCCUGGUGUAGCGGUGAAAUGCGUAGAUAUCAGGAGGAACACCUGUGGUGUAGACGGCUUUCUGGACCAUAGCUGACGCUGAGACACGAAAGCGUGGGUAGCAAACAGG